UACCUGCAGCCCAAGUGGUGGUCGAUUUUAUUGAGUCUAAAACGUUCGUAGCCGGUUUGGUAAAUCUUUGGGUAAAUCGGGAGGCUCAACUUUCCGACUUCCGAAGAGACUGCCAAACUUGGGACCGGGAGAGGCUAGAGGUACUUCUGGGGUAGGGGUAAAAUCCUGUAAUCCUAGAAGGACCACCGGUGGCGAAGGCGUCUAGCUAGAACGGAUCCGACGGUGAGGGACGAAGCCCUGGGUCGCAAAUGGGAUUAGAUACCCCGGUAGUCCAGGGUGUAAACGCUGCCGACUUGGUGUUGGAGGCCCUUCGGGGGCAUUCAGUGCCGGAGAGAAGUUGUUAAGUCGGCUACUUGGGGAGUACGUCCGCAAGGAUGAAACUUAA
rnacentral:rRNA from 1 species